rnacentral:rRNA from 1 species
GGAUUAAGAGCUUGCUCUUAUGAAGUUAGCGGCGGACGGGUGAGUAACACGUGGGUAACCUGCCCAUAAGACUGGGAUAACUCCGGGAAACCGGGGCUAAUACCGGAUAACAUUUUGAACCGCAUGGUUCGAAAUUGAAAGGCGGCUUCGGCUGUCACUUAUGGAUGGACCCGCGUCGCAUUAGCUAGUUGGUGAGGUAACGGCUCACCAAGGCAACGAUGCGUAGCCGACCUGAGAGGGUGAUCGGCCACACUGGGACUGAGACACGGCCCAGACUCCUACGGGAGGCAGCAGUAGGGAAUCUUCCGCAAUGGACGAAAGUCUGACGGAGCAACGCCGCGUGAGUGAUGAAGGCUUUCGGGUCGUAAAACUCUGUUGUUAGGGAAGAACAAGUGCUAGUUGAAUAAGCUGGCACCUUGACGGUACCUAACCAGAAAGCCACGGCUAACUACGUGCCAGCAGCCGCGGUAAUACGUAGGUGGCAAGCGUUAUCCGGAAUUAUUGGGCGUAAAGCGCGCGCAGGUGGUUUCUUAAGUCUGAUGUGAAAGCCCACGGCUCAACCGUGGAGGGUCAUUGGAAACUGGGAGACUUGAGUGCAGAAGAGGAAAGUGGAAUUCCAUGUGUAGCGGUGAAAUGCGUAGAGAUAUGGAGGAACACCAGUGGCGAAGGCGACUUUCUGGUCUGUA